rnacentral:rRNA from 1 species
GACGAACGCUGGCGGCGUGCUUAACACAUGCAAGUCGAACGGAAAGGCCCUGCUUUUGUGGGGUGCUCGAGUGGCGAACGGGUGAGUAACACGUGAGUAACCUGCCCUUGACUUUGGGAUAACUUCAGGAAACUGGGGCUAAUAACGGAUAGGAGCUCCUGCUGCAUGGGGGGGGUUGGAAAGUUUCGGCGGUUGGGGGUGGACUCGCGGCUUAUCAGCUUGUUGGUGGGGUAGUGGCUUACCAAGGCUUUGACGGGUAGCCGGCCUGAGAGGGUGACCGGCCACAUUGGGACUGAGAUACGGCCCAGACUCCUACGGGAGGCAGCAGUGGGGAAUAUUGCACAAUGGGCGGAAGCCUGAUGCAGCAACGCCGCGUGCGGGAUGACGGCCCUCGGGUUGUAAACCGCUUUCGCCUGUGACGAAGCGUGAGUGACGGUAAUGGGUAAAGAAGCACCGGCUAACUACGUG